GAGUCGGACCUGCCCAGUGAAUAUAUUUUUAACGGCCGCGGUACUCUGACCGUGCAAAGGUAGCAUAAUCAUUUGCCCUAUAAUUGAGGGCUAGUAUGAAUGGUUUGACGUGAACAAAGCUGUCUCUGUGUAAUUUUCUAGAACUUGAUUUCUAGGUGAGGAAACCUAGGUAUCAUUGAAAGACAAGAAGACCCUAUUGAGCUUUAAAAAAAUGGAUUGAAAAUAAUAUAUAGCUUUAGAUAUUAAUCUAUCUUAGAUUUUGGUUGGGGCGACUAUGGAACAAAUAAAGCUUCUUUACAAUUAGUAAGACUUACAGGUGUUGAUCCAGAAAUUCUGAUUAAUGGAAUUAGUUACCAUAGGGAUAACAGCAUAAUUCUCUUUGAGAGCUCUUAUCGAAAAGAGAGUUUGUGACCUCGAUGUUGGACUAGAAUAUCCUAAAGAUGCAGCAGUCUUUAAGGGUUGGUC
rnacentral:rRNA from 1 species